rnacentral:rRNA from 1 species
UACAGAGGGUGCCAGCGUUAUUCGGAAUUAUUGGGCGUAAAGGGCGCGUAGGCGGCCAUGCGUGUCUUUCGUGAAAUCCCUCGGCUUAACUGAGGACGUGCGGAAGAAACUGCAAGGCUUGAGUCCGGGAGAGGGGGGUGGAAUUCCCAGUGUAGCGGUGAAAUGCGUAGAUAUUGGGAGGAACACCGGUGGCGAAGGCGGCCCCCUGGACCGGUACUGACGCUGAGGCGCGAAAGCGUGGGUAGCAAACGGG